AACCCCUACGUUAGUUGCUAACGCGUGAAGGCGAGCACUCUAGACGAACUGCCGUUGACAAAACGGAGGAAGGUGGGGAUGACGUCAAAUCAUCAUGCCCCUUAUGUUCUGGGCUACACACGUGCUACAAUGGCCGGUACAGACGGACGCAAAGCCGCGAGGCGGAGCAAAUCCGAAAAAGCCGGUCUCAGUUCGGAUUGCAGGCUGCAAUUCGCCUGCAUGAAGUCGGAAUCGCUAGUAAUCGCAGGUCAGCAUACUGCGGUGAAUACGUUCCCGGGCCUU
rnacentral:rRNA from 1 species